rnacentral:lncRNA from 1 species
UGAUAUUGUUUAGUGUUGAACAGCUAAGUAUGCCGUUUAGAGUUGAAUUGUACUGAUAUUUGCAAUAUCCUUUGAAAUACAAAAAUAAUAAGAUGAUGGAUGGGUCCCCUCUGAUAAUCCCUGUUACGCCUUCAAUCUGUGGCCCACAUUUUCACAACUCUGUUCUUUGGACCUCCAUGUUUAGGGAUGGUAACAGUUUUCAAACAUUUCGAGACUCUCUAUGCCACCAUACAUAUUGUUGUAUUUUACUUCAAAAUUUUCCCACACUUCUACAAAUAGCCCUGUAUUGGAAUAACACACAAAUUCUAGUUGCGUGUUUCAUGUUUCCUGGCAGCGCCCUGACUGAGAAAGUCAUUGGUAGGUACCAGGGAGUACUCCAGGAAACGUACCCUGCAGAUGGGAUUUUCCGAUUGGAUUGUGACAAAUCGGUGACACAUAAUGCCCUCCUUGCUCAUGAUAAAGGGCACAGACAGUCUAUCCAUUCUUCAUCCUUGUGCAGUGUGCUGGAGGACCAGUGGAUGGCAAGUGAAGGGGAGAUCAACUCGCUCCAGCUCUUCAUCCCUGAGGCAGCCAUGGAUUUAGUUACAAUGUGA